rnacentral:sRNA from 1 species
GCCUAGCCCCGAUUGAUGCUUUGUUUGAGCUCUUUUUUGUUUUCCUUUUAAAAAACAAAAAAAGCGAGUGCGGAAAGCGGGAAAUUGC